UACAGAGGGUGCGAGCGUUGUUCGGAAUUAUUGGGCGUAAAGGGCGCGUAGGCGGUGCCACAAGUCACUUGUGAAAUCCCCGGGCUUAACUCGGGGCCUGCAGGCGAAACUGUGGUGCUGGAGUAUGGGAGAGGUGCGUGGAAUUCCCGGUGUAGCGGUGAAAUGCGCAGAUAUCAGGAGGAACACCAGCGGCGAAGGCGGCGCUCUGGGCCGGAACUGACGCUGAGGAGCGAAAGCGUGGGUAGCAAACAGG
rnacentral:rRNA from 1 species